rnacentral:rRNA from 1 species
UCGGGAAUUUUGGGCAAUGGGCGAAAGCCUGACCCAGCAACGCCGCGUGAAGGAUGAAGUAUUUCGGUAUGUAAACUUCGAAAGAAUAGGAAGAAUAAAUGACGGUACUAUUUAUAAGGUCCGGCUAACUACGUGCCAGCAGCCGCGGUAAUACGUAGGGACCAAGCGUUGUUCGGAUUUACUGGGCGUAAAGGGCGCGUAGGCGGCCCUGUAAGUCAGUGGUGAAAUAUCUCAGCUUAACUGAGAGGGUGCCAUUGAUACUGCAGGGCUUGAGUACAGAUGAGGUAGGCGGAAUUGACGGUGUAGCGGUGAAAUGCAUAGAUAUCGUCAAGAACACCGAUAGCGAAGGCAGCUUACCAAGCUGUAACUGACACUGAGGCACGAAAGUGUGGGGAUCAAACAGGAUUAGAUACCCCGGUAGUCCCUGAGCGGGCUGGCAAGGCGCAU